rnacentral:rRNA from 1 species
GGAUUCCCCUAGUAACUGCGAGUGAAGCGGGAAAAGCUCAAAUUUAAAAUCUGGCAUUCAUUGUCCGAGUUGUAAUUUAGAGAAGCGUUAUCCGUGUUGGACCGUGUACAAGUCUCCUGGAACGGAGCGUCAUAGAGGGUGAGAAUCCCGUCCAUGGCACGGACUACCAAUGCAUUGUGAUGCGCUCUCGAAGAGUCGUGUUGUUUGGGAAUGCAGCACAAAAUGGGUGGUAAAUUCCAUCUAAAGCUAAAUAUAGGCGAGAGACCGAUAGCGAACAAGUACCGUGAGGGAAAGAUGAAAAGAACUUUGGAAAGAGAGUUAAACAGUACGUGAAAUUGUUGAAAGGGAAACGCUUGAAGUCAGUCGCGUUGUUCAGGGAUCAGCCUUGCUCUGCUUGGUGUACUUCCUGUUCAACGGGUCAGCAUCAGUUUCGACCGCUGGAAAAAGUGCGCAGGAAUGUGGUCUCCUCGGAGAUGUUAUAGCCUGUGUUCGUAUACAGCGGUUGGGACUGAGGAAUCAGCACUCGAUGCUUGGGAUGCUGGCAUAAUGGCUUUAAGCGACCCGUCUUGAAACACGGACCAAGGAGUCUAACAUGCCCGCGAGUGUUUGGGUGAAAAACCCGAGCGCGUAAUGAAAGUGAAAAGUUGGGAUCUCUGUCGUGGAGAGCACCGACGCCCGGACCAGAAGUUUACGGACGGAUCUGCGGUAGAGCGUGUAUGUUGGGACCCGAAAGAUGGUGAACUAUGCCUGAAUAGGGCGAAGCCAGAGGAAACUCUGGUGGAGGCUCGUAGCGAUUCUGACGUGCAAAUCGAUCGUCGAAUUUGGGUAUAGGGG